GGGGGAAGGUGAGGGCGAACUCGGGGAAGGUGAGGGCGAACUCGGGGAAGGUGAGGGCGAACUCGGGGAAGGUGAGGGCGAACUCGGGGAAGGUGAGGGCGAACUCGGGGAAGGUGAGGGCGUACUUGGGGAAGGUGAGGGCGUACUUGGGGAAGGUGAGGGCGCGGGAGAGGGAGGAGCCGAGGCAGGAAGCGGUCUCUUGGUAGGUCACGGCACGGAGCAGGGGGUAGCAGGGGCUGGUCCACCUCUGACCCGGAGAGGAUGAGGGAGCGGAGGCAGUGGCCAGGGUGUAGGUGGGGAGGUAAGAGGGGGAGAGGAGGGGAGAGGAAGGAAGGUGGGGAUGUAAGAGGGGGAGAGGAGGGGAGAGGAAGGAAGGUGGGGAUGUAAGAGGGGGAGAGAGGAGGGGAGAGGAAGGAAGGUGGGGAUGUAAGAGGGGGAGAGAGGAGGGGAGCGGAAGGAAGGUGGGGAGGUAAGAGGGGGAGAGAGGAGGGGAGAGGAAGGAAGGUGGGGAGGUAAGAGGGGGAGAGAGGAGGGGAGAGGAAGGAAGGUGGGGAGGUAAGAGGGGUAGAGAGGAGGGGAGAGGAAGGAAGGUGGGGAGGUAAGAGGGGGAGAGAGGAGAGGAGGGGAUGUACGGUAGUGGGGGGUGUACGACAGAGAAACUGAAACCAGUGGGGUCUCACCCACCUCAUCAGGGGCGUGUGUGUCGUAGCAUUUCUCCGCCCCCAUGAG